rnacentral:rRNA from 1 species
ACGCGAAAGCCCCCUUCGGGGGGCAAGUAGAGUGGCGCACGGGUGAGUAACACGUAGGUAAUCUACCUUUGGAUGGGGAAUAACCACCGGAAACGGUGGCUAAUACCGCAUAAUGCAGCGGCACCUAAUGGUGACAGUUGUUAAAGCGGGGGAUCGCAAGACCUCGCGUCUGAAGAGGAGCCUGCGGCGGAUUAGCUAGUUGGUAGGGUAACGGCUUACCAAGGCGAUGAUCCGUAGCCGGCCUGAGAGGGCGGUCGGCCACACUGACACUGACGUACGGGUCAGACUCCUACGGGAGGCAGCAGUCGGGAAUUUUGGGCAAUGGGCGAAAGCCUGACCCAGCAACGCCGCGUGAAGGAUGAAAUCCCUCGGGAUGUAAACUUCGCAAGAACGGGAAGAAUAAGUCUGCGCAAAUAUCGCAGAUGAUGACGGUACCGUUUGUAAGCUCCGGCUAACUCCGUGCCAGCAGCCGCGGUAAUACGGGGGGAGCAAGCGUUG